GAUGGUUCUUGGGUGACACACCCCAGAAUCGGGCUCUCUCCUCUCUGGUUCUGGGUGCGGCACCCAAGAACCACA
rfam:Myotis davidii contig49625, whole genome shotgun sequence.